AGAGUUUGAUAGAGGAAAGCAGAAUUUCUAGUGUAGAGGUGAAAUUCGUAGAUAUUAGAAAGAAUACCAAUUGCGAAGGCAGCUUUCUGGAUCAUUACUGACACUGAGGAACGAAAGCAUGGGUAGCGAAGAGGAUUAGAUACCCUCGUAGUCCAUGCCGUAAACGAUGUGUGUUAGACGUUGGAAAUUUAUUUUCAGUGUCGCAGCGAAAGCAAUAAACACACCGCCUGGGGAGUACGACCGCAAGGUUAAAACUCAAAUGAAUUGACGGGGACCCGCACAAGUAGUGGAGCAUGUGGUUUAAUUCGAAGAUACGCGCAGAACCUUACCAACACUUGACAUGUUCGUCGCGACUUUAAGAGAUUAAAGUUUUCGGUUCGGCCGGACGAAACACAGGUGCUGCAUGGCUGUCGUCAGCUCGUGUCGUGAGAUGUUGGGUUAAGUCCCGCAACGAGCGCAACCCUCACUUUUAGUUGCCAUCAUUAAGUUGGGCACUCUGAAAGAACUGCCAGUGAUAAGCUGGAGGAAGGUGGGGAUGACGUCAAGUCCUCAUGGCCCUUACGUGUUGGGCUACACACGUGCUACAAUGGUAUCUACAACAGGAAGCAAGACGGCGACGUUAAGCAAAUCCUUAAAAGAUACCUCAGUUCGGAUUGCACUCUGCAACUCGAGUGCAUGAAGCUGGAAUUACUAGUAAUCGUGGAUCAGCGUGCCACGGUGAAUGCGUUCCCGGGUCUUGUACACACCGCCCGUCACACCAUGGGAGUUGGUUCUACCUUAAGGCAAGGUUUAAUACCCUUGACCACGGUAUAGUCAGCGACUGGGGUGAAGUCGUAACAAGGUAGCCGUAGGGGAACCUGCGGCUG
rnacentral:rRNA from 1 species